rnacentral:rRNA from 1 species
UUGGAGGGCAAGUCUGGUGCCAGCAGCCGCGGUAAUUCCAGCUCCAAUAGCGUAUAUUAAAGUUGUUGCAGUUAAAAAGCUCGUAGUUGAAUUUCGGGAUCAGAUUGUCGGUCGUGCCUCGGUACGCACUGGCAUUAUUGGUUCCUACCUUCUGAAGAACCGCGAUGUCAUUAAUUUGGUGUCGUGGGGAAUCAGGACUGUUACUUUGAAAAAAUUAGAGUGUUUAAAGCAGGCGCACGCUUGAAUACAUUAGCAUGGAAUAAUGAAAUAGGACGUUUGAUUCUAUUUUGUUGGUUUCUAGGAUCGACGUAAUGAUUAAUAGGGAUAGUUGGGGGCAUUAGUAUUCAAUUGACAGAGGUGAAAUUCUUGGAUUUAUUGAAGACUAACUACUGCGAAAGCAUUUGCCAAGGAUGUUUUCAUUAAUCAAGAACGAAAGUUAGGGGAUCGAAGACGAUCAGAUACCGUCGUAGUCUUAACCAUAAACUAUGCCGACUAGGAAUCGGAUGAUGUUAAUUUUUUAAUGACUCAUUCGGCGCCUUACGGGAAAC